rnacentral:rRNA from 2 species
CUUUGACCUCAAAUCGGGUGAGACUACCCGCUGAACUUAA